GAGGACUGGGAACGGACACAGAUGGCCA
rnacentral:sRNA from 1 species